UACGUAGGGGGCAAGCGUUGUCCGGAUUUAUUGGGCGUAAAGAGCGUGUAGGCGGCCAGGUAGGUCCGUUGUGAAAACUGGAGGCUUAACCUCCAGCUGUCGAUGGAAACCAUCUGGCUAGAGUCCGGAAGAGGAGAGUGGAAUUCCUGGUGUAGCGGUGAAAUGCGCAGAUAUCAGGAAGAACACCUAUGGCGAAGGCAGCACUCUGGGACGGUACUGACGCUGAGACGCGAAAGCGUGGGGAGCGAACAGG
rnacentral:rRNA from 1 species